UGCGUAGGGCGCAAGCGUUGUCCGGAAUUAUUGGGCGUAAAGAGCUCGUAGGCGGUUUGUCGCGUCUGCUGUGAAAACCCGAGGCUCAACCUCGAGCUGUCGGUGGAAACUGCUUGGCUAGAGUCCGGAAGAGGAGAGUGGAAUUCCUGGUGUAGCGGUGAAAUGCGCAGAUAUCAGGAAGAACACCUAUGGCGAAGGCAGCUCUCUGGGACGGUACUGACGCUGAGACGCGAAAGCGUGGGGAGCGAACAGG
rnacentral:rRNA from 1 species